GAAAACUUAAAGGAAAAUCUCGGCUCCACUCUUCGCCGGAAAAAUUCUCAUCUAACCUCAAUUUCUCCGUGGACGAAAAUGAAGAGCAAUCUUGCUUACGAUUUGACCCAUUGCCAUGUUGGGCUCCACCAAGAUCCAGUAUUGGCCGGUAUCGGGUCUAGAUACCGACCGUCCGUGAUCCAAGACUACCCAAAUCCAACCCAUAUGACCAUGAGGUAACUGACCGGUGAUAAACGGUGGCCCGUCUUGUUCAUUCAAAACCAACCCUAGGCAUAUUCCGGUAUGUCACUACACAGCCGAAGCCCAACACUACCAACGAUCAAAUUUCAAAUUUUGAACUUGGCGCUCUUCACUUCGCCAAUUUGGCGAUUCCGCUUCUCCUCAUUUCCCAAAUCUAACAGCCUUUCCUAAAUCUUUCUCUUCUUCUCUAAACUCACUCCAUCCCAUAAUAAGAAGCCAAAAAGAAAGGCAACAAAAAAUGGGAGCCUCUCAUAGCCUGGAACUCCCGGAUUCCGACACGGAGGAACAAGGAGAAACCGACGAAGAAAGUUACGAAACGCCGGAGAAAUCCUUCUCUGGACACAGACCCGAAACCCCUUCGUCUCUCGACGAUGUUGAGGCCAAGCUCAAGGCCCUCAAGCUGAAAUACCCAUCUACAGCAACCCAACAAUUUGAAAACCCCAAUUUGAAAAAUGCAGUCAAGCUUUACCACCACAUUGGCGGCAACACCCCCAAAGCCAAAUGGGUGGCAUCGGAGAAGCUUACUUAUUAUUCCUUUAUUAAGACUUCCAAAUUUGGCGGCCACAGUCAAGCCGACGAUGAAGAUGAGGAGUCAGAAUCGGAAUCUGAAGGAGAAGGUUGGUGGGUAUUGAAGGUUAGUAAUAAAGUUAGGGUUAAAGUUACUACUGAGAUGCAAUUGAAGACUUUUAAAGACCAACGUCGCGCUGAUUUUGUUGCUGAAGGUGUUUGGGCCAUGAAGUUCUUUAGUGAUGAGGAUUAUGGCGUUUUUAUUAGCAAGUAUAAUGAUUGUUUGUUUGAAAAUACUUAUGGAUAUGAGUCCAAUGAAGCUAAUAAGAUCAAAGUUUAUGGGAAGGAUUUUAUUGGAUGGGCUAACCCAGAAAAGGCUGAUGACUCUAUGUGGGAGGAUGCAGAAGAUAGUUUCUUGAAAAGCCCUGAAUCAGCAACUCCAGUUAGGGCUAAUCAAGAUUUGAGAGAGGAGUUUGAGGAGGCAUCGAAUGGAGGGAUACAGAGCUUGGCUUUGGGUGCAUUAGAUAAUAGUUUCUUAGUAGGUGAUUCAGGCAUUCAGGUGGUUAAGAAUUUUAGCCAUGGGAUUCAUGGGAAAGGUGUUUAUGUGAAUUUUGGUGGUGUUGAUAAUAGGAGUGCUUUGAGUUUGGCCCAUUCGACUCCUAAGAAGGCACUUCUUAUGCGUGCUGAGACUAACAUGUUACUUAUGAGUCCAAUUAAUGAGGGGAAGCCACAUUCUACAGGAUUGCAUCAGCUUGACAUUGAAACUGGGAAGAUUGUUACACAGUGGAGAUUUGAGAAAGAUGGAACUGAUAUUUCUAUGAGGGAUAUUGUAAAUGAUAGCAAGGGAGCCCAGUUGGAUCCAUCAGGAUCCACAUUUUUGGGCUUGGAUGAUAAUAGGCUUUGUAGGUGGGAUAUGCGUGAUCGAAAAGGGAUUGUUCAGAAUCUGGCAAAUGCUAGUGCCCCUGUCCUGAAUUGGACACAAGGGCAUCAGUUCUCAAGAGGAUCAAACUUUCAGUGCUUUGCAAGCACUGGUGAUGGUUCAAUUGUGGUUGGGUCUCUUGAUGGGAAGAUUCGAUUGUAUUCGAGCAAUUCUAUGAGGCAGGCAAAAACAGCUUUUCCUGGCCUGGGAUCGCCUAUUACUCAUGUUGAUGUUACCUUUGAUGGGAAGUGGAUAUUGGGUACCACUGAUGCUUACUUGAUCCUUAUCUGCACUUUAUUUACAGACAAGGAAGGUAAGACAAAGACAGGUUUCAGUGGUCGUAUGGGAAAUAGAAUUGCAGCACCCAGAUUGUUGAAGCUAACUCCUUUGGAUUCACUUAUAGCUGGGAUUAAUAAUAAGUUCCGUAAUGCUCACUUUUCAUGGGUCACAGAGAAUGGGAAGCAGGAGCGUCAUUUGGUUGCAACAGUGGGCAAGUUUAGUGUGAUAUGGAAUUUCCUGCAGGUGAAGAAUGGCUCACAUGAGUGCUACCGUAAUCAAGAGGGCCUGAAGAGCUGUUACUGCUAUAAGAUAGUCCUCAAGGAUGACUCUAUUGUUGACAGUCGUUUCAUGCAUGACAAGUUCGCAGUUAGUGAUUCUCCUGAGGCUCCACUGGUCAUUGCGACCCCCAUGAAAGUCAGCUCCUUUAGCAUAUCCAGCAGGCAAUGACAUACUUUGAAGAUGCCCUUUACUCAGACUACUUCUCAGUGUCAUAGGGAGGGGUAUCAAAUGGUUUGUGAAAGCUUCAGAAUUGUGUUUUAGACUGUUGUUUAACUAAGAUAAGCUUGGAUCAUCUGAAGAUGAAGAAUGAUGUGCAAAUGCAAUAUAGUUGUAUAAGAUUUCUACCUCGUUGCUAGUUAUUUAAUGACUGCAAUUUUAUCAUUGUAUUACAAUUACACUUUUCUCAAUGGAGGAGCAACUGCUACUCAUGAUAUGGUGAAGCACUAUGACGUAUCCUUUUAUUUUCUUCUUAUUAAUGACUAUAAAGCUGCCUCUCAACCUCAGAAUGCUCACAUUUGAUUAGCUGUCAAUUUUAUUUGCUUUAAUGCUGCUUAAAGUGCAAUUUUCUGGAUAUAAGACAGUUCAUGCUCUCUUUAUUAGUUUAUUUCUCUCUUUGUUUAAAUGAAUGUUUUCUUUAUAUGAUAAUGUAUUCGUAUGAUGUUGAGAUGCAGAAGAAACUUCAUUUUACUUAUUAUUUUGAUAUGUAGUUGCUUCUGCAGAGAGUUUUUGUUAAAGUGGAAGGGGCUUUUAGACUUUAGUCAGCAGAUUGUGGAGGUUCUGAGUAGCAUUU
rnacentral:misc_RNA from 1 species